GUGUGUGUGUGUGUGUGUGUGUGUGUGUGUGUGUGUGUGCCUGCCCUGUGACAGUCUAUUGUGUGGUUAUGGCAUUGUUAGUCUAAUCACUCCCUCUUCAUGGACCAUUCACUUUAGUGUACUUAUUUAUUGUGUUGCUGUUACAAGAGCUGCAGCAAUGGACAUUAUCACCUGCCUCUACUACAUGCGUGAAUAUUCCAGCACAGUGUGUUCAGAGAAUGGAGCUGCUGGUUAGAAGGUGUUUGCAUUUAAACUUUUGGUAGAUAUAGAAAAAGUGGGGUGAACAAGGUAAUAAGGUAGAGAGUCCUCUUGGCUGAUCACUGUGCUCUGGCAGUGAUGAAGUCAGACUGAGUUCUUUUCUUUCUUGCUCCUCUCUUCUCUUUUCUCCUUUAUCUCUUGACUCCCCCCCCCCCCACACACACACGCACACACACUUAGACAAAUCACACAAGUCAAGCAUGCCUAUUUUAGUAAUUGUAUCUUAAAUACACAUAAACAAAAUGAAGGAAAGGAGAUUCACCUAUAGUCGCAGGUCCCAGGAACAACCCACCAUGGCCCCGUCAAGCAACACGUCGGAAAGCUACAUGGUGCAGCAUAGAUAACGUAGAUUAGAGGAGCCUGCUCUCCGUUGUAGAGAACUCUGCAGAGGUUCCUCCCCAUCUGAGGCCGGCCUUAUAAAAGAUUCUCAAGGGAGAAACCACAGCUAACUGCUAGUGUUCCAGUGAUUUCUCCAGCUUCAAUGCAAAUUCCCAAAUAAACCAAGGAUGAAGGAAAUUACAUAUAAUAUUCAUUGCUUAUUAAUUUCUUUCCCUUCCACACCUUUGGGAUCAUUACUAUCUUCAAUUGUACUUUUGCUGUUUCAAUUUAACACCUUCUGUUAUUUAUUUUAUUUUAUUUUAUUUUAUUUUAUUUUAUUUGAGACAGGUUUUCUCUGUGUGUAGCCCUGGCUGUCCUGGAACUCACUCUGUAGACCAGGCUGACCUCGAACUCAGAGAUCCUCCUGCCACUGUUUUCUAAGUGCGGGGACUAAAGGUGUUUGCCACCACUGCUGGGUUCUCCACUGUUAUUUUAAAGGAUCUCAAUUACAGGAAGAAACUAGUUUAUCUGAUAGCUCACUAUUCUUAGAUGAAGCCUGUUAUUUUAAACAGC
rnacentral:lncRNA from 1 species